rnacentral:lncRNA from 1 species
CGAAAUAACCUGAUAUUUCACUCUAUAAUUACAAUAUAGCCUAUCAAUCUUAAAUUAACAAUUGAGUAUAAUACGUCAGUCAACAAAAAUUAUGCAUUCUAGUCUCAUUAUUCAAAUGUUGUACUUUGCCAUUUACUAAUUAAAAGCUCCCUCAUUUAAAGCAAGUAUAAAAAACCUGAUCUUCAACAAAUGCAAACUCACUGAUCCAAAGGUUGCAUUUUGCCAUUUACUAAUUAGAAGUUCCAACAUUGAAGGUAAGUCUCAUUUAUGAAAAACCUGAUCUUCCACUACAAAUGCAGCAUAACCUAGUAAUUCCAGGGGUGGAGCUAGAAUAUUGUUUAGUACGGGCACAAUUUAAUCAAUGCCAAACUUAGAGUUUUGGCCAUGGAUUUAAUGAUGAUAAAAUAUAAAAUAAUAUUAUGAUAAUGCUAAAAAUAUCAUAGUUCAUAAAUUAUACUUGUUCCUUGUGAGUUCUCAUACUUUGAUAUCGUUAUACAAUUACACCGGUUUUUGUUCUCCUUUUUUGAGGUUUGCUUUUUCUGAACUUAAGUACUAGGAUCCAGAGGAGACGAUUUCACCUUGUUUACAUGAUUCUCUGUCUUGAGUGAUUUUGGAAGAAAAAGGAGAGGGGCAAUACCAGAAUCCCUCUGGGGACACAGCAAUUGGAACAUUUCUAAUCUCAGUUUGACCCUGUUAAACUCUAAUUUCAGCAAGAAAUUCAACCCCAAAUUCCAUUUUGGGCUCUUACAAAAGAAGAAAAGAAUGUGGAAGAAUUUCAACAGACAUUUACUUCUACCCAAAUUAAACAACUCCUCUGUCCUCAAUUAAGAUAAAGAAACCAAGGCCUAAUUUUGAAUUUAAACAUCGUCCUCUAACAGAAACUCUGUAAUUGACGGAGGUAUAUAGGGAGAAAAAGUUCAUACCAAAUUUAAAUUCAGAUCACAGAAGCAAACAUAAAGUGCUGGACUAAAUUCCAUUAGAAUAGAAUCUCUCCACAACACUUGAAGAAAAAGGAAAAACAUAAUCUUUAUGACCAAUAACGCAGAUAUUCAAAAAUCAGAAGAACCCAAAACGACAAAUGGUACAAGAAAAAGUUAAAUACCAAACAUAAUUCUCCAAAAAUGUACUUCUAAUUUCCUACAACUAGCUCAAAAUAUCAGUCCACGGAAUUUAAUCUACCCAUUACAAUGGAAUUCUAAGAAACCCCAGAAAAAGCACAAAGACAAACCAACAAAGGCGAAAUCUGAGAGGGCUAUCAUAAAACUCAAAUGGACGAGAGCCGCCAGUGGCCCCGUGGUCGGUGGUGGAAGGCGGCGAGACGGAGAGACGAUAGUCGUCAGUUGCGAAGAGCUGGGCGGAGUAAAACUUGGAGAAAAUACACGUUAGAUCGGAAAACCUCUUGGGGCAUUUGCUCCUCCACCGUACCAAAAUUUGACAUGGCG